GCAUGCUAGUUGUACGAGCUUAGACUCGUUGCGGAAAGCUCAGUAACACGUGGCCAAACUACCCUAUGGAUCCGGACAACCUCGGGAAACUGAGGCUAAUCCGGAAUACGACUCUCAGCCUGGAAGUGGCGAGAGUCAGAAACGCUCCGGCGCCAUAGGAUGUGGCUGCGGCCGAUUAGGUAGACGGUGGGGUAACGGCCCACCGUGCCCAUAAUCGGUACGGGUUGUGAGAGCAAGAGCCCGGAGACGGUAUCUGAGACAAGAUACCGGGCCCUACGGGGCGCAGCAGGCGCGAAACCUUUACACUGCACGAAAGUGCGAUAAGGGGACUCCAAGUGCGAGGGCAUAUAGUCCUCGCUUUUCACUACCGUAAGGAGGUAGUAGAAUAAGUGCUGGGCAAGACCGGUGCCAGCCGCCGCGGUAAUACCGGCAGCACGAGUGAUGACCGCUCUUAUUGGGCCUAAAGCGUCCGUAGCUGGCCACGCAAGUCUAUCGGGAAAUCCGCGCGCUCAACGCGCGGGCGUCCGGUGGAAACUGUGUGGCUUGGGACCGGAAGAUCCAGAGGGUACGUCUGGGGUAGGAGUGAAAUCCCGUAAUCCUGGACGGACCACCGGUGGCGAAAGCGCUCUGGAAAGACGGAUCCGACGGUGAGGGACGAAAGCUCGGGUCACGAACCGGGAUUAGAUACCCGGGUAGUCCGAGCUGUAAACGAUGUCUGCUAGGUGUGCCACAGGCUACGAGCCUGUGGUGUGCCGUAGGGAAGCCGUGAAGCAGACCGCCUGGGAAGUACGUCCGCAAGGAUGAAACUUAA
rnacentral:rRNA from 1 species